UGGGGAAUAUUGCACAAUGGGCGAAAGCCUGAUGCAGCGACGCCGCGUGGGGGAUGAAGGCUUUCGGGUUGUAAACCCCUUUCAGUAAGGAAGAAUUUGACGGUACUUACAGAAGAAGCGCCGGCUAACUACGUGCCAGCAGCCGCGGUAAUACGUAGGGCGCGAGCGUUGUCCGGAAUUAUUGGGCGUAAAGAGCUCGUAGGCGGUUUGUCGCGUCUGCUGUGAAAGACCGGGGCUUAACUCCGGGGCUGCAGUGGGUACGGGCAGGCUAGAGUGCGGUAGGGGUAACUGGAAUUCCUGGUGUAGCGGUGGAAUGCGCAGAUAUCAGGAGGAGCACCGAUGGCGAAGGCAGGUUACUGGGCCGUUACUGACGCUGAGGAGCGAAAGCAUGGGGAGCGAACAGGAUUAGAUACCCUGGUAGU
rnacentral:rRNA from 1 species